rnacentral:rRNA from 1 species
GACGAAGGUGGCGAGCGUUGUUCGGAAUCACUGGGCAUAAAGCGCACGUAGGCGGUGCCGUAAGUCGGAUGUGAAAUCCCUCGGCCUAACCGAGGAACUGCGUCCGAUACUGCGGUGCUUGAGGAUCAGAGGGGUGCAUGGAAUUUCCGGUGGAGCGGUGAAAUGCGUUGAUAUCGGAAGGAACAUCAGUGGCGAAAGCGACUUCCUGGACCAAUACUGACGCUCAUGUGCGAAAGCGUGGGGAGCAAACAGG